rnacentral:tRNA from 1 species
GAGGGUAUAACUCAGUGGUAGAGUACAUGCUUGGCAUGCAUGAGGUCCUGGGUUCAAUCCCCAGUACCUCCA